GUCUGUUUGAUUUUAUUUUAUAGAUUAACAAGAAUGUGUCCAUAGUACACGAAUGCCCCACUCGCACUAUCAUUUUCUAUGUUCAGUGGACCGUGAAAUUGGGGUCAAAACUUUAAUUUGGAAUUAAAAUUAGAAAGAUCAUAUCAUAGGGAACAUGUGUACUAAGUUUGAAGUUGAUGUAACUUUAACUUCAUCAAAAACUACUUUGACCAAAAACUUUAACCUGAACUUCGCACUAUCAUUUUCUAUGUUCAGUGGACCAUGAAAUUGGGGUCAAAACUAUAAUUUGGCAUUAAAAUUAGAAAGAUCAUAUCAUGGG
rnacentral:lncRNA from 1 species